GGUUAUGGCUCAGUGGUAGGGCGCUGGCUUAGCACGUGGGAGGCCCUGGGUUUGAUCCUCAGCACCA
rnacentral:tRNA from 1 species